rnacentral:rRNA from 1 species
UACGUAGGUGGCAAGCGUUGUCCGGAUUUACUGGGCGUAAAGAGCGCGCAGGCGGUCGUUCAAGUCGCGUGUGAAAGCCCCCGGCUCAACUGGGGAGGGUCACGCGAUACUGAUCGACUCGAAGGCAGGAGAGGGUAGUGGAAUUCCCGGUGUAGUGGUGAAAUGCGUAGAUAUCGGGAGGAACACCAGUGGCGAAGGCGACUACCUGGCCUGUUCUUGACGCUGAGGCGCGAAAGCUAGGGGAGUAAACGGG